UACGUAGGUGGCGAGCGUUGUCCGGAUUUACUGGGCGUAAAAGGGAGCGUAGGCGGACGUUUUAAGUGAGAUGUGAAAUAACCCGGGCUCAACUUGGGUGCUGCAUUUCAAACUGGAAGUCUAGAGUUGCAGGAGAGGAGAAUGGAAUUCCUAGUGUAGCGGUGAAAUGCGUAGAGAUUAGGAAGAACACCAGUGGCGAAGGCGAUUUCCUGGACUGUAACUGACGCUGAGGCUCGAAAGCGUGGGGAGCAAACAGGAUUAGGAUACCCCCGGUA
rnacentral:rRNA from 1 species